UUUGGCAGUAAUUAAUUUUGAUUAUGUUUUGUAUAUUGUUGGGUUAAUGGUUUUAUUUCUUGAAAUUCUGCCAAAUUAUUUACAUUUCACUUUUGUUAAUUACCCAUCAUCUCUAUUUUCUUUAAGUUACAAAUUUGGAUUGGCACUAAUUUUAUUCAAUUAGAAAAUUCACACGAGUCCAUCCUUCAAUCGACUGGCUCCUCUUCUUCAUAGUUGAUCGAUGGCCACCUUCACAAGAACAUAAGUAAGUUUAUUCAUGCAAUCAAAUUUAACUAUUUAUGUACGAUUUUCUUUUCAGUUUUCUG
rnacentral:lncRNA from 1 species